rnacentral:rRNA from 1 species
GAUUAUGGCUCAGGAUGAACGCUAGCUACAGGCUUAACACAUGCAAGUCGAGGGGCACAGGACGAUAGCUUGCUAUUGUUGCUGGCGACCGGCGCACGGGUGAGUAACGCGUAUCCAACCUUCCCCUUAGUAGGGCAUAGCCCGGCGAAAGUCGGAUUAAUACCCUAUGUUAUCCGAAGAGGACAUCUGAAUUGGAUUAAAGAUUUAUCGCUAAGGGAUGGGGAUGCGUCUGAUUAGGUAGUAGGCGGGGUAACGGCCCACCUAGCCGACGAUCAGUAGGGGUUCUGAGAGGAAGGUCCCCCACAUUGGUACUGAGACACGGACCAAACUCCUACGGGAGGCAGCAGUGAGGAAUAUUGGUCAAUGGGCGCGAGCCUGAACCAGCCAAGUAGCGUGCAGGAUGACGGCCCUAUGGGUUGUAAACUGCUUUUAUGCGGGGAUAAAGUGCGGCACGUGUGCCGUUUUGUAGGUACCGCAUGAAUAAGGACCGGCUAAUUCCGUGCCAGCCGCCGC